AAACCAACAGCAAGUCACUACUGAGGAUUUUCCUGCAUGAACAGCCACCUGUAUUCCUGAGGCCACCUUCCUUCCAAACCAGAAAGAACAGCUACCACCAAGCACAGCUAUUUCAGGCAGGGAGAUCGAACGGCGCCAUAGGAGCACAGAAGGGGCUAGAAGUUAUCUCAACAGCUUAAGAAAAACACGUGCACGGUCUGAUCCCAGGCAGACGCUGCUCGGGGCAUCAGACACGAGAAGAGGCGAGCGGGGCUGGAGGGUGCCCUUGGCCACAUGUGUGCAAGGCGGGGACGGCUGCACGUAUUUACUGGCACUGACGCUUCAGUACGCUGAUGACCAGCGUUUACUUUCCGGCUAAGUCACUUCCAAACGUCCACCCAGCAGCACAAGAUGAAUCCCUGAGGGACCGAGGGGCCCAGGGUGGGAUCAUGGAGUGGGUCUGUCUACACGGAUGGCUCCCUGUGAGUUUCCAGACCCUGGCCUGAGCAAAAGGCCAUCUGGACACCUGUCGGCCUGCGUGUCCGGCAUCCCCCCAUGCCCGAGCCGCAUGCUCCCGGCUGUAACCCGAGAGGGACGCACCGGCCAAGCCAGACCAGUGACGGGACACAGCUGAGGACGGAGCAGAUGGGAGGGGAGGGGACCAACCGGGGGGAGGGGACAGAAGAGUGGGUGAUGCCGCCUCGGGGCUUCCGCAGUUGUGUCCUGUGAACUUCUCCCCGGUUCCACCAGCGACCCCCCGGCUUCUGUUGCACCACUGAGGCCAGAUGAACCCCCGCCCCAGAAGGGUGGGUGGCCCUCUCGGCGGCACAGGACUUCCACUGCCCCGCCUUGCAAACAGCCUCGAGAAGGGGCCUAAAUUCAGUGACCGCUGCCCGGGCUGCUCCUGUCAAAAGCGUCCCAUUCCCACACAAGCACCCUUUUUUUUUUUAUCCCCACCAGGAAACUCAAAAGGAGUAAGCCUUGUACCUUCAAAUAGCUGCACAAAGCCCUCAGCCUGGAGCCCUCCCCAGUGCUGGACCAUGGGAGCCACCAGCCACCUGGGGCGGCUUACACGGAAAUCAACUACAAUGAAAUAAGAUGUAAGACCGGCUCCUCGGCCGCACCGGCCACAUCGGAGGUGCUUGACGGCCACACGUGGCUCGUGGCCUCCACUGCGGAGCUGAGGUCAGCCCACCACGCGGAUGUCCCUGAUCAGAGCUCCGAGGAGGGCUCUUCUUUACAAAGCUGUCUUUGUACCAGUGUCUUUCCUCUUCCUCCAGGUGAGCACGAAAAAACCCUCCCAGGAGGACUCGACUCUUGUUUCGGCAAAUGUGGAUUAAUCCGACUGAGUUUUCCUGCCAAGUGCACGUGAAAACACAGAAGUGGGAGCAGCACACCCUUGGCGCCCAGCGAAGCUCUGGGAGCUGCCACCACGCCCAGUCCCUCUCCAGUCCUUACAGAGCUUUCCAGACGGCCCUCUCCCCCUCCUCCCUUUCCAUGACUGCACUCUGCUUGGUGGUGGGAGAAACGAGGCACGGCAAAAGCACAAAGCCCAGCUCCCUCAUCGCGCCCGUCUGCGCCCGGGCUGUCCCAGGACUGCAGGGCCCAGUCUCCACAAGCAGGGCCCUCGCUCUGGGCGGCCCCCUGCACUGGGAGCACCCCUCCAGGGCCGCUCCUGUCUCUCCCCAGCCCCAGGGCAGAGCCGGGCCCUGCACCUGAGCCCUCUGGCAGACACCCAGCAGCCCUCGUGGGCGGCGGCCUGUCUCUUGCCACCAUUACCUACCAGCCGAAGGCACCUUCUGGAGAAAGGAGCCCCCUCACCCCGUGCCCUCAUUCUGAAAAGUCAGCGCCCCUUCCGGCCUCUAUAAGAAACGACCGUCAGCUCAGGGUGCCUGGUUAACGUUUCACUUCCUCUCAUCGAGACCUGUCCUCCACUGGAAAGGGAAAUAGCUCCCCUCCUUUUGCAAUCAAUGCCAAACAACUCUGGCGGGGCCCGAGGGGUGAGGGGUCCUGGGCCGUGGUGCCCUGGGGCGCGGGGCCCUGGGCUGUGGUGCCAGCCUAUCCUAAGCACGCCGUGAACUGGACACGCAUCGGUGAGCCCGGCUUUGCUCUUCUGGUUAUUUUCUCACUCCAGCUGUUUUGCUUUGUCCGCCUCUUGAAAUCGCUUGUCAUCAUAAUGUUUUCAGCUUUUUUAACUCACAGUUGAGAACAGCAACCUGUUGAGUCGCUGCCUCCACGAUCUUCUCAUCAAGUGAAAGCUUCCAGUCGGCCCCGAACGCCACCCGGGUUACCGGUGCAAAUGGCUCAUCUGUAAACUGCGUACCGGAGCCCCCAGAGACCUCGUUCCUCAUCCCUAAAAAGAAGCUUCGGCGGCUGCGUGUCCGUCACAGAAGCGGGACCCGCGCUCACCCAGCCUCCAGGGCAGGCCCGGGCCCCAGCGUUUCUGCCGGGAGCUCUGGAAGCCCCCCCAGCGCCCCGAUACCCAAGGCCCCCUUCCCCCGGUGUCACCAUCGAAGUCCAGCGUCAAGCCCCCAUCGCGCACCCGCUAAGGACGUGUGCGCCUCUGAGUCCGAGGCCUCGCAGGCCCUCCCCGCCCCGCUCCCACCUCGGCCCCUCCCUCACUGAGGCACCCAAGGCGGGCACAGCCCGCCGCUGCGACCAGACGGCCUGCGCCGCAGCCCGGCCGCCCCAUCGGUGACCGCUGGCCUCAGCCAAGUCUGCUGCCUGAGCCUGCCUCACACGUGAACGGGUCAGUGCGGCAAAGGCAAACGGCGGAGCCGGAGGCCUCGCUCCCCGCGGCCCGGCAGGAGCCGCCAGCCCAGCACCUGGCCAGGAAAUUUCACUACCUGCCCUGAGCAUCACACAAGCUAAGCCACGUAAACCGGCCGUGAGCAUGAAGUGAUACUUGGUGGUGGCCUGGUGUCACUUUCAUUCUUCAUAAUCUGAAAACGCAGAUUAACGCACCAGGGCCGGCUGAACUCUCAGGGCCGCCACGCAGCUCAGAUGGAAUAACGUGACAUACAGGAAAACAUCGUAAAGACUCAGGAUGAAUUAACCGUUCAAGUCCUUUAAACUUCCCGCUCCUUCGAAAGGCUGUUUUUAAAGGGGAGCUGGGCCAAAGGCAGAGUUUUGCACAGAGGACGAUGUCCCCCUUUGCCAGGCCCCGUAAACACCACCGGGUCCCGUCAGGAGGCCCCAGGAGUCAGGGGCCCACUGGGCCGUUCCCCGUGCCUGCCGACACCCGGGACGACUGUUUCCUAAACCGUUUAGUAGGAAUUAGGAAGGACAGUGAGAGCCUCCACCCUCGGGAGCGGGAACAGGAUUCCAAGUGUGAUCUUCUAAAUUAGCAAAAAGAAAAAAUAAACAAAAAACCUACAAAAGUGCACAUGACUUGGAGGCAAGGUCUUCAGGGGGAGCGCCCCCGGCCCAGCAACAGGCUUUCGGGGCGGUCGGCCGGGGCAUGGCGGGGCCCGCCCUGCAGCCCCUCUUCUCAGCAAGACCUUCGCGUGGGGCAGCACGCACUGAAGGCGGUUAAGGGGUCCUUGGAUCAGGGGCGACGAUAAAUCAGUCUGAUGGCGCCGAUACGGCCACGUUCAUCCGACUGUUCGUUUGCUCUGUUUUCCGACUGCGAUGACAGUAACCGAGUAGUUGGUUCUCACGCGGGCUGCAGUCUGUCGGUUUCUCAACGCGGGGGCAGAUACACGGUACACGGGCAGGCGACACGGUACGUGGCAAACCUGCGUCCUCAUCACGUCCUCGGGCUGAUGGCGGGAACACUCCUCACGCCUUCCGCCCAACGGCUGUGCCGCGCCUGCCUCGGUGGCGCGCUGUGGGUCUAUGUCCGCUUUCCUGGGGAGUCUGAGUGCCCCCCAGAGGCCAUACCGUGGGAGCACCCUCCCCCCGCACCGGAGCCGGUGGCCGGACAACCCUGCUUCCGCCCCUUUCUCUGGAGCAGCCGCUCCGCCAGAGUCUGGAAAGGGGCAAGGAGCUUUCUCACUUUUAGUUUUGUUUCUUUUGUAUAUAUAACACUAUUUCUGCAUGAUCUAUUUUCAAAUGAGAAUUCCAAAAUCACUUCUAGACGUUUCCAGAUUGGUAGGCAGAAUAAAUAAAAACUUCGUUUGGUUUUCAAUCAUGUUCAAAUUAUCUGCAUAUGUGCAGCUUAGUUUCAUUUAGUUACUAAAUUCUAGCCAUGCCUAGACAAAAAUGGACCAAUGAAACCUUUACCUCCAAAUUUAACUAUGUUUACAGACACACACACACUUGAAUUUGUACAGAUGAAUCUUCAGCAAACCCUUAUCUGACGCCCGUUUAUCUUAAACACAUUUGGGGACACAGCUGUCACUGCCCUCAGAGGCCAUGAAGCUAAGCAACCUUCAGGCUGGCCCUGCAGGCGGCGAGCAUACAGAAAUACGCAGAAGAAUGAACAGCUGUGGGUACGCUCGACGGGACAGUGCCUCCCCGCAGCGGAAGUCAUCCCCAGCGUUCCGGACUCUGCCCAGCUUACUGCGUAAGGACUUCAAUAAUUACUGGGGGUUCAAGAUCUCAGAGUGCUGCCGACUGCAGUCAGUCUUGCUCCCAGAAAUUGACAACGACGGGUCUGGGCUCACAGGGACCCCAGUUCUUCCCCGGGAGCUCACCGCUCUGAAUAACCCCCCGAUUUCCACUUGGUUUCCUCGUCCCCCACCUCUUCCUGCGUGAGGAGGCAGGAGCAGCUCAGCGCUCGGGGUGACUCCCAGGGCCCACUGGUCGGACGUGAGCCGCUGACCCAGGCCCCGAGGUCAGUGGCUGGAGCCGCGGAGCCGACUUCCCGAGGGCAUGAGGCCCUCAGAGGCCACCCUGGCCGGGCUGCUCACCGAGUGUCACCGCCGAGGCGCUGAGGGCUCCACUCACACCUGCUCCAAGGCCACGCGCUCCCGCGGAACACGCCUCUGGGCCCCGCGCUCAGCCUGUCUUACAGCCACCGAGGCCGCUCCGACCACACUCCAGCACCGCAGGCUUCACGAUUCCACGCAAAACGUAUGCUGGAAAACAUGCUCUUCACUUAAAACAAGCCGUAGGACACCUGCUCAACAGCAGGGCAGGGUCCCGGCCCCCGGGAGUCCCCGUGGGCCUGGCUGACGGCGGGACAGCAGGACCGAGGCCCUCGGGCACGGCAGAGCCUGGCCCCAGUGCCCGCCUGGUUUGAAAUGGUGACUAGGGCGUGGGGGUGGGCAGUGAGAGCCAAGGCAGGGCCCCCAUCCCCCAGACGACAACUGGGGACCCAGCCUUGCUUCCCACAGAGCCCCGCCCUGGGCCGGGACUGUUCAGUGAGAGAACCCUCUGGAAGGGGCUCCUGAGAAGCACGGGAUGUCACGAGCCCGGCGUGACGGGGGCAGCAGGGGCCACGGGGGCUGCAGGACAGGGCGUGGGCCUGUCUGUGUCCUCAAGUCCAUGCUCCGGCCAACGACACCGCAGAGAACCCUCCAAGGGCCGAGCUGUCAGGGUGCCCCUUUUCAGGCCCGGCCCCGGCACAGUCUGCUUUCUUUUGGCCUCGGGUGCUCAGAAGGGUCUGGAACCCUGAAACGAAGGAGGAGAAGGGCCCUGGGCACAGCCCGGGUCCCGGAAUGGGCUCCACGCCCUCGGCCAGGCGGGGGCUUUGCCCAGAACCCUCCGGGGAACAGGGCUAC